GGGAUUUUCUUAAUCUCUCCCUCUGCCUCCUUAAGAGGCUAGGGAAUGGGAUUUCUAAGUAGAUCAGAACUGACAGGAGUCAAUGAGUCAGAGCUGAAGAUUGUUACCGGGGAGACUGGGACUGAGGGGAGGAAGUGGCCAGCCCUCUGACAGGAAGUUAGGGCGGACAGUUGGUGAGUGAGAGGAGAAAGGAAGCAGCUGCUGAUAGUUGGGGGUCUUUUGUCUUUGGGAUCUCUAGAGAGCAGGAGAAUCAGAGACAGUGAGAGUUGGAGAGGACAUACAUAGCCAUCUAGUCCAACCCAUCCAUGAAAGGAAUCUCUGCUAUAACAUACUUGACAAGUAAUCAUCCAGUCUCUACUUGAAGGACUCUAAGGGAAGGAAGCUCCCUGCCUCUUGAAUCAGCCCAUCCUACCUGAGGUGGAAGGAAGAGGACAUGGCACUGAAGGAAACAGAUAAGGGAGAGUGGAUUGCCUGUAGAUGAAGAAGUCCAUUCCACAAAAGCCCAAUUUUUAAGGCAUUGAAGGAUUGAUUCUCAAUAAAUUUGGAAGAUUGAGAAAUUCCAAAUUAUUGGUCAAAUAGAGACUUUACUAUAAAAAAGAUCAAGAAAGCAUAAUUACCGACUAACAGGUAAAUGUAAUCCUGCUUCUAACCACAGUUUUAGUCUCAUAAUUGGCUCUCAAAUGAAGAGAACACAAGAUCCUACUGUGCUGAUUGUUUGCUGACUUAAAAAAGCAUUUGAUUAACUAAAAGAAAAUGUUGCCUAAAGAACUGCAAAUUGAAGGGAUGUCCAUCAAUUGGGGUAUGGUUAAAGAAUUUAUAUAUGAUUGUAUUGUGUAGUGCAUUGUGCUGUAAGAAAUGAUAAACAAAAUAAUUUCAGAAAAACCUGGAAAGACUUGCAUGCUCUGAUGUAAAGUGAAAUGAAUAGGACCAGGAGGAGAACAUUGUACAAAGGAAUAGUUAUCUUGUACAAUGAACCACUGUGAAUGACUUAGUUAUCCUCAGCAAUACAAUGAUCCCAGACAAUCCCAAAGGACUCAUAAUGAAAAACUUCAUCCAUCUUUAGAGGAAAAAGAAACCCAAUGGAAUCUGAUUGCAGACUGAAACAUACUAUAUUUCACUUUUUUUCUUCAUUUUUUGGGUUCAAGAUCUCUUCCACAAAAUGAUUAAUAUGGAAAAUGUUUUAUAUUUUACAUUACAUUGCAUGAUUAUACUUUAAAAUCUAUAUAUUAUUGCUUACUGUUUUAGAGAGAGUAAAGGAAGGAGGAAAGGAGAGAAUUUGGAACUCAAAAUAAAAAAAAAUACCCAAAUGUUAACAAUUGUUUUUGCAUGUCAUUGAGGAAAAUGAAUUAUUAUUAAAAUAUAAAAAAAAGUAAAUGGCAAGAAGAAAAAAAAGGGAAAAAAUACUGCCCAGAGGGCUAUACUCCAAAAAGGUGUCUCCUAUGUUUGUCAAAAUCCUGAAACACUUUUUAAAAGCUAUAACAACAGAGAUAAUGUUAUUCAAUGUUCAUUUGAUUAUCAGGGUCAAGUGAAGGAGAAAAGAGGAAGCUGUAGAGGUCUGACAUUGUCAUGGAGUUUAUGUAGCAUGGGGUAGUUCAUUUGGAAAAGGGAUUCCUUUUGGAUGAAGAAUUUUCCAGAUGCUUCUGUUUAUAGGAAACAUUGUCCUGAUUGCACCAAGCUCUGGAACACAGCAAAACCUCCAAAAUGAGGCCCAUAAUUGAAUCAGAUUAAUGCUGACCUGUGGUGUUAGUGGGAAAGCACCAACUAAUAAUAAUAAUAGUAAUAAAGAUAAAAUAUAAGAGUAAUUAUGAUGAUGAUAAAGAUGAAAAGUAUUUGGCCUACAUAUCCACAGAGAAAAGACCAAGAGUAGAAAAAGUAGUUAUUGCCCAGAUCUUGAUAUAUGGUUUUAUGGGUGGCCCAUAGAGCUCAUUUAUCAGCAUAUAUGUCUGGGUCAGUCAUUGCACAUGGUCAACGAACUGGGCAGAGAACUGAAUAGGAAGAAUUGAGCAGGCUGAAUAGCCUUUUGGAAAUCGUAUAGUACUUUGAAUGACUUCAAUAUUCUCCAUAAAACAAAUACGUCUCUUUUUAAUAGCAGAAAUUUUCUAGGGUGGCUGUAUGGCCACAAAGGAUGAAAUAUUAAAGCCAUCAAAGACCAUUGUGAUUGUGUGUGUGUGUGUGUGUGUGUAUGUAGGGAUAUGUGGAUAGAACGUGAUGCAAUGAUAUUUCUUUCUCUGUUCAGGUAAGCAGGUAGAGGCCAGGAAGGAAUGGCAUCUUUCUCCAUCUCGUGCAAUCAGGAGGAAACUAGGCAAAGAGACCUGCAGGUGAUGGAAUGUUUUCUUUCUGACUUCCAUGGCAGGAAGUAGAAGAGGAUAGUCUACGAGAUAUAUGAGUCUUAGAAGCAGUUGUAUUGCACUGACUUGAGUACUAAUCCAAUCUCCAGAGUCCAAUUUGUCAGAUUUUAAGGGCUUUUUCCAGGUCUUUGUAUUUAUUAUAACAGUUUCAGGAAGUCUCACCACAGAAGAGUCCAUUUUACAUCCUCUAUUCAACCAGUCUGGACCCCAGCUUUCUCCUCCUUGUUUACUCCCUCCCCACCAAUGGCAGAGAU